rnacentral:misc_RNA from 1 species
GAAUUGCAUAAUGUGCUAGUGUUGAGGUUAAUUAUUUGUAAAAUCAGUGACUCAAAACUUGAUCUCUUUUUAUCAGUAUCAAGAGUCUGAUUCUGUUAAACUUAUCCAACUGGACUUAAAUAACAACCAAUGUUAUGCAGUCUAUUAGAUAAUAAAGGCUUAACCUCUGUGCCAUUUGUACAAUUUGCAACAAUUAAAAUUGCUAAAAAACUUCUCUU